AAGGAAUAUUGGACAAUGCCCGCAAGGGUGAUCCAGCCAUGCCGCGUGCAGGAAGACGGCCCUAUGGGUUGUAAACUGCUUUUACACCGGAGAAAACCCCAGUACGUGUACUGGGCUGAUAGUAUGGUGAGAAUAAGCAUCGGCUAACUUCGUGCCAGCAGCCGCGGUAAGACGAAGGAUGCAAGCGUUAUCCGGAUUCAUUGGGUUUAAAGGGAGCGUAGGUGGCCUUAUAAGUCAGUGGUGAAAUCUUCGAGCUUAACUCGGAAAUUGCCAUUGAUACUGUAGGGCUUGAGUACAGUUGCUGUGGGCGGAAUAUGACAUGUAGUGGUGAAAUACAUAGAGAUGUCAUAGAACACCGAUUGCGAAGGCAGCUCACAAAACUGUAACUGACACUGAGGCUCGAAAGUGCGGGGAUCAAA
rnacentral:rRNA from 1 species